rnacentral:rRNA from 1 species
UCGAGCAAGAUAAGGGCAUUCGGUGGAUGCCUUGGCACCAGGAGGCGAUGAAGGACGUGGCACGCUGCGAAAAGCCACGGGGAGCCGCGAGCAGGCGUUGAUCCGUGGAUAUCCGAAUGGGGCAACCCACCCCUUUGGGGUAUCACAAUCUGAAUCCAUAGGGUUGUGAGGCAAACCCGGGGAACUGAAACAUCUCAGUACCCGGAGGAAAAGACAUCAACAGAGAUUCCGCUAGUAGUGGCGAGCGAACGCGGAACAGGCCAGUGGUCUUUCGAAGAUAAGCAGAACGCUCUGGAAAGUGCGGCCAUAGCGGGUGACAGCCCCGUAUGCGUAAAUGUCGAAAGAUCCUUGAGUAGGGCGGGACACGUGAAAUCCUGUCUGAACAUGGGGGGACCACCCUCCAAGCCUAAAUACUCCCUGGUGACCGAUAGCGAACAAGUACCGUGAGGGAAAGGUGAAAAGCACCCCGAAAGGGGAGUGAAAGAGACCUGAAACCGGAUGCCUACAAGCAGUCGGAGCUCCUAAUGGAGUGACGGCGUACCUUUUGUAUAAUGGGUCAGCGAGUUUCCGUUCGCGGCAAGCUUAAGCCGAUAGGCGUAGGCGGAGCGAAAGCGAGUCUGAACAGGGCGUUCAGUCGCGGGCGGAAGACCCGAAACCGAGUGAUCUAGCCAUGGCCAGGCUGAAGGUGCGGUAACACGCACUGGAGGGCCGAACCCACGCCUGUUGAAAAAGUCGGGGAUGAGCUGUGGCUAGGGGUGAAAGGCCAAUCAAACUCGGAAAUAGCUGGUUCUCCGCGAAAUCUAUUGAGGUAGAUCGUCUCGUGUUUACCCUCGGGGGUAGAGCACUGGAUGGGCUAGGGGGGCCCAAAGCCUUACCAAACCUAACCAAACUCCGAAUACCGAGGAGUAUAGCGAGGCAGACAGACGGCGGGUGCUAAGGUCCGUCGUCGAGAGGGAAACAGCCCAGACCACCAGCUAAGGUCCCCAAAUCGUGGCUAAGUGGGAAAGGAUGUGGGAAUUCCAAAACAACCAGGAGGUUGGCUUAGAAGCAGCCAUCCUUUAAAGAAAGCGUAAUAGCUCACUGGUCUAAUAGAAAUCCUGCGCCGAAGAUGUAACGGGGCUCAAGCCACGUACCGAAGCUGUGGGUUCAUAGGGGUAGCAGCCUAUGAGCGGUAGCGGAGCGUUCUGUAAGCCUGCGAAGCCAUACCUGUGAGGGGUGGUGGAGGUAUCAGAAGUGCGAAUGCUGACAUGAGUAGCGACAAACAGAGUGAGAAACUCUGUCGCCGAAAGUCCAAGGGUUCCUGCGCAAGGUUAAUCCGCGCAGGGUGAGCCGGCCCCUAAGGCGAGGGCGAAAGCCGUAGUCGAUGGAAACCAGGUUAACAUUCCUGGGCCUGCCAGAAGUGACGGAUGAGAGAUGUUGUCGGGGCUUAUCGGAUUGUCUCGGCUUUUUGAUCAUUCCAGGAAAUAGCUCUGGCAUAUAGACCGUACCCGAAACCGACACAGGUGGACUGGUAGAGUAUACCAAGGCGCUUGAGAGAACGAUGCUGAAGGAACUAGGCAAAUUGCUCGCGUAACUUCGGGAUAAGCGAGACCAUUCAGUGGGCAACCAUUGGGUGGUGGCACAGAGCAGGGGGUAGCGACUGUUUAGUAAAAACACAGGGCUGUGCGAAGUCGAGAGACGACGUAUACGGUCUGACGCCUGCCCGGUGCCGGAAGGUUAAGAGGAGGUGUGCAAGCACCGAAUUGAAGCCCCGGUAAACGGCGGCCGUAACUAUAACGGUCCUAAGGUAGCGAAAUUCCUUGUCGGGUAAGUUCCGACCUGCACGAAUGGCGUAACGACUUCCCCACUGUCUCCAGCAUCGGCUCAGCGAAAUUGAAUUCCCCGUGAAGAUGCGGGGUACCCGCGGUCAGACGGAAAGACCCUAUGAACCUUUACUGCAGCUUUGCAGUGGCAGCAGGAGAAUUCUGUGUAGGAUAGGUGGGAGGCUUUGAAGCCUGGGCGCUAGCUUGGGUGGAGCCAACCUUGAAAUACCACCCUGAGUUCUUUUGCUGUCUAACCGCGACCGGUCAGCCCGGUCCGGGACCCUGCAUGGUGGGCAGUUUGACUGGGGCGGUCGCCUCCCAAAUAGUAACGGAGGCGCGCGAUGGUGGGCUCAAGCCGGUCGGACAUCGGCUGUUGAGUGCAAUGGCACAAGCCCGCCUGACUGCGAGAGUGACAGCUCGAGCAGAGACGAAAGUCGGCCAUAGUGAUCCGGUGGUCCCGCGUGGAAGGGCCAUCGCUCAACGGAUAAAAGGUACUCUAGGGAUAACAGGCUGAUCUCCCCCAAGAGUCCACAUCGACGGGGAGGUUUGGCACCUCGAUGUCGGCUCAUCACAUCCUGGGGCUGGAGCAGGUCCCAAGGGUUCGGCUGUUCGCCGAUUAAAGUGGUACGUGAGCUGGGUUUAGAACGUCGUGAGACAGUUCGGUCCCUAUCUGCCGUGGGUGAAGGAGACUUGAGAGGAUUUGUCCCUAGUACGAGAGGACCGGGAUGAACAUACCUCUGGUGCACCGGUUGUCACGCCAGUGGCACGGCCGGGUAGCUAAGUAUGGACAAGAUAACCGCUGAAAGCAUCUAAGCGGGAAACUUACCUCAAAACUAGGUCUCCCUGAGGGCCGUGAAAGACCAUCACGUUGAUAGGCCGGGUGUGGAAAUGCGGUAACGCACGAAGCUAACCGGUCCUAAUCGCCCGAUCGGCUCGAUAUC